CAGUCGCCGCGGGAAAACGGAGGGAGCUAGCGUUGUUCGGAAUUACUGGGCGUAAAGCGCGCGUAGGCGGUUACUCAAGUCAGAGGUGAAAGCCCGGGGCUCAACCCCGGAACUGCCUUUGAAACUAGGUGACUAGAAUCUUGGAGAGGUCAGUGGAAUUCCGAGUGUAGAGGUGAAAUUCGUAGAUAUUCGGAAGAACACCAGUGGCGAAGGCGACUGACUGGACAAGUAUUGACGCUGAGGUGCGAAAGCGUGGGGAGCAAACAGGAUUAGAUACCCGGGUAGUCCCUGUCUCUUAUAC
rnacentral:rRNA from 1 species